UACGUAGGUGGCAAGCGUUGUCCGGAUUUACUGGGCGUAAAGAGCGCGCAGGCGGUCGUUCAAGUCGCGUGUGAAAGCCCCCCGGCUCAACUGGGGAGGGUCACGCGAUACUGAUCGACUCGAAGGCAGGAGAGGGUAGUGGAAUUCCCGGUGUAGUGGUGAAAUGCGUAGAUAUCAGGUGGAAUACCGGUGGCGAAGGCGCAUG
rnacentral:rRNA from 1 species